UUAUGAAACUGUACAUGGCAGUGGAGUCCUGUGUGGACAGACCUGAUGGAGAGUCUUUGGGGUUCGGAUGGAUGUUUGCCAUGGCCAAAAAUUCCUGUAAAAAGAGGAAUUUAUAGCAACUUUUAUAGAUGUUUUGGGGCGGUGGGUUGGUGGCUGCAGAAGCGACGGGCUGCACUCUGAUGGCUGGUCUCUUGCACUCUGGGCCACCUGUGAGGCUGCUGUAGGCCGGAGGUCCUAAACACGUCUGCCUCUGGAGCAGCUGCAGGACACUCUGAAUGUCUGAUGUCAUCUGAGACUCCAACCUGCUAAUGUCACACAACUCCUCUCCUCCAGUCACCUGACCCCACACUAGUGUUACCUGCUCAGGUGUUCCUGCAGUUGGUCUAGUCUGUGCUCCACUUCUCCAUACGUGAUGUCACCAUCCAGAUCAUCAUCUUCAGCGCCGGCCUGUACCUGUGCAGCCGUGUCCAUGUCCGCUUUGACGCUGUCAGCUAACCACCCGUCAGUCUGGAUAUCUAAAACAGACACCUGCUCCACGCUGAUCAGAACGGCUGCCUCUGCGCAAGAUGCCAAUUUAUGUCCGAUCACAGACUGUGGAGGAACCAGACAUGAGCAGUGUAGUGAAAUUAGAUUCCUCCAGGACAGAUUCACCCUCAUGGACGGACAGAGACUGAGAAGACACCUGAACAUGUUCAACGGGUUUGAGACACAACAGAAAUGGACAACAAGAACACAUGGUUAGGACAUGGUGUUAAGAUGAAAUACCACUGAAACCUCACCAUCAAAUGUCUUUUUUUCGGCGUCUUCGGUGGGAGGACUGCAGCCCGGUGUGGAGGGGUAGCUCUGUACAGAUGGAUACUCUAUUAUUGCUGCUCCCAGAAGCCUCUGCUGUUCCUCUCUGGAGGUGUGACGGUCCUCUGAGCUUCUCUUAGAGCUGAGACGAGACUCUCGCCGCUCCGUCCUGCACUCGCUGUCCGCUUCUUUGAGGCUUCCUCCUACAGGGCGAUCGGAGAUCUUCCUUCGGCUCUUCGUGUCCUCUCCGUCUGAAUCACUGGCAUGUGAAUAAGUGCUCUGAAGAGAAGGAGCCCAACAACAACAACAACACGCAAUAAUAAUCUCAGGUUAAAGGUCAGCUCCAGAUUGGUGAGAAAAUAGUCUGCGAACUCUGGAUACAUGUCCAGAACCUCCAGCAGCUCCUCUCUCUGGAUGGUGUGCAGGUCACAGUAGCUGAGCGCUCUGACGUCUGCGUUCGAUUUCCCUGGCUUAGCGUACAGGUGGAUCAUCUCUCCAAAUAUAUCAUUCUUACCUGGAAAACAAAGGACACAUUCAGUGUGUCUGGGGAAGCAAGGUCAUUUUAGGACAGAAUGCAUGCGGAUUAUCAGCGUACGCUUUAUCUCUGGGGAAUAUGAAUCGGAUGAUGUCAGGUAUAUGUUGCUUUUUUUUUUUUUUACCCUCAACCUCUCGUUGAAUAACAACUGUUUGUUCUUUUGCCUUUCUUUAAAGGUCACAGAAUACAGGAUUUGAAUUGCUCUUUUGAAUUACAAAAUGGUUUAAAGUGCACCUAUUAUGCUAUUUUAAAGACUCCUGAUUGUGUUUUAGAAGUCUCGUAUUACAGGUUUACAUUCAUCCAAGGUCAGAAAGCACUUUAAUUUUCUCAUAAUAUACAUUGCAGCAUCACCUCUUUUCUCACAGUGUCUGAAACAUUCAAUAAAGGAUUUGGUCUCUCUAAACCCCUCCUUACUGAGAGCCUGCUCUACUCUGAUUGGUCAGAUGGCUCAGUUUGUUGUGACUGGUCGACUGCUUACAGUGUGUAUCAGAAACGAAACACCCAUAACCAUUUCUGAAUUUCAACUCCGGAUCUUCCUCAAGAAUUGAUACACAGUGAUAAUAACAGUAAUGAUGGUGUCUGCGGUUAGCGGUAGCGGUAGCGCAAGAUCUACCAGGAAGACUUAAUGUCACGUCGUCCUUCGUAAUAAGUCUGGCCAGUCACUGCUUGACACCUGAUAUAAAUGAGCACUGAAUUCUCUGUUUCAUGUUCGCAGUUGAUGACGCUGACUUGCCAUCAGGCAUAUAGUUGUCAUCGGGCAUAUAGUUGUCAUCGGGCAUAUAGUUGCAUAUAGUUGCAUUCUGAAUUGUAAUUGGUCUUGCCUUCCUUGCAUAUAUUUAAUAAUUUAUAGCCACCUCAUGUAAUAUUACACUAUUGAUUCUUGUGUGCAGCUGAAAACAAGACGUGUGCUGAGUGAUAUGACAGCUGUGAUGCAGCAUUUCAUUAUUGCAGAACCAAAGAAUUUUAUAAAAGAAGAGAGACAAAUGAAAAACUAUACCUUUCAAAAGUUUGGGAUCAGUAAGAUUUUUAAAUGUUUGUAGAGUCUCUUCUGCUCACCAAGGCUGAUCAAAAAUACAGUAAAAUUCAAAAAAUAACU